CAGGAUUCCAACUACAUAACAUUCUGGAAAAGACAAAACUGUGAAGACAGCAGAAGAGAAUUGGUUGCCAACAGAUGACAUAGAGGAUUUCACUCUUCUUCAUACAGAGUGAGAAAGCUGAGAUAUCCAGAAGUCAAGAAGUCAGAGGAGAUUUCAUUAAUCUUCACUGGAAUGAGAAAACGCAAUUUUGGUAUUUGUGACUACCAAGAACUUGGUCUUAAAAGGGAAAUCUGUAAUGGCAAAAACUAAACAAACACAUGCUAGAACAUUUUCAUCCUUCAUCCACUGAAAAGCUUAUCCUAUGUUUGGGUUUACAUCAGCAGCAGUCUCUGAGUGAAAUGGAAGUAUGAACAUAUGAACUAAGCAGCCAAGAUGACCAAGCUUAAUGUCGUCCCAUGACAAGUCCCAUGUAUCAACGCUGGCCUAGCUACUGUGCCUGUGAGAAUUCAACCUGUCAUGACAGAUUGAUGUUGAGCUCUGGGUGUUUGGGACUACAUGUGCAGUUUUGUUAUAUAGGUAAGCUCUGUCAUGGGGGUCUGCUGUACAGAUUAUUUCAUCAA
rnacentral:lncRNA from 1 species